rnacentral:lncRNA from 1 species
AUGCUUUCCACUUGGGAAGAAACGCAAGCGAGAAAUGAAAGUCUCAUUUGUGUCGGGAGCAAGUUCGGGACCCCGGGACCAGGGCGCGCGCCUCGGGGUGGCGGUCGGGCUCUAGGAGUCCACCCAGGAGGGGAAGCAGGCCGGGGGCACCGCAAAACCCAAGCCUGCUGCAGGGCUAUAAAUAAAUAUGGCCAUCAAGACAGACCGAAAUUCUGUCGCAGCGUGCAAGUUCCCAAGUUUUCCAGAACUCUUCUUCAGCCCAAGUGGUAUACACAACUUAAAGUAAGGGAGGGAAGGAAGGAGCAAAGAAGCCCCCAAAUUCAGCCAGAUGUGGUUGUGGCCAGAAAGUCCCUUCAAAGCAUGUUCGUCUGUUUCCCGGCCAACUGUCUUUGGACUGCCAUCAGCUGGGAAAACUGUACACCUGGAACGAUGAGUACCUUGGGCAUAAAGGAGACGAAAUCUAGGGAGAGUCUGUCUCUUUGUCUUUUUAAAAAUUACAUGUUGCUCUCACUUUGUACCAGGAGAAGAGUGGGAAGCCCGCAGCGCGUUCGCGGUCAUUACCACUCCGUGUUUCGGAGGUCCCGGGAAGAGGGGCGGUCCGGCCUGGCCCCCUUCCGCCCCCUCUCCCUGCCACUUCGACAAGGGUCGGCUAGAACCGGGACUUCUCUCUAUUUCACCUCCUUGCUCUCUCCCCGGAUGCUUGCCUGGGACAGAGAGAUCAGGCUCUUCCAGCUCUGUGGCCAGGCGAGGCCCUCGUGUGUGAUGGCGGCGGAAGAGUUGAAAGACUCUGGGCAGCUCCUUCUUGACAGCGGGGCUCAUUGUUAUCGCCCUCCAUCCUCCUCUGGGCGGGAGGCGCCGGCAAAACAGGGCGAUUCGACGGAGCAUCCUUGCUCGCGAAGGCGCUUCGGUCUGAUUUACUUCCCCAAAUCAGCAAUUACUGAAAAGACAAACUCGCCCAUCCGCACCCCGGUUUUCGCUGAGAUCCUGCAGGUGCCAGGCUCAAAGUGGGCCAGGUUCGCUGUUCUCGCUCCAUCUUCGUUGUUGUCAGGAUCGGGCUCCGGCGGGGAGGCUUAG